ACGGGUGAGUAACGCGUGGGAAUCUACCCAUCUCUACGGAAUAACGCUUGGAAACGUGUGCUAAUACCGUAUACGUCCUUCGGGAGAAAGAUUAUCGGAGAUGGAUGAGCCCGCGUUGGAUUAGCUAGUUGGUGGGGUAAAGGCCUACCAAGGCGACGAUCCAUAGCUGGUCUGAGAGGAUGAUCAGCCACACUGGGACUGAGACACGGCCCAGACUCCUACGGGAGGCAGCAGUGGGGGAUAUUGGACAAUGGGCGCAAGCCUGAUCCAGCCAUGCCGCGUGAGUGAUGAAGGCCCUAGGGUUGUAAAGCUCUUUCACCGGUGAAGAUAAUGACGGUAACCGGAGAAGAAGCCCCGGCUAACUUCGUGCCAGCAGCCGCGGUAAUACGAAGGGGGCUAGCGUUGUUCGGAUUUACUGGGCGUAAAGCGCACGUAGGCGGACUAUUAAGUCAGGGGUGAAAUCCCGGGGCUCAACCCCGGAACUGCCUUUGAUACUGGUAGUCUUGAGUUCGAGAGAGGUGAGUGGAAUUCCGAGUGUAGAGGUGAAAUUCGUAGA
rnacentral:rRNA from 1 species